rfam:Loxodonta africana unplaced genomic scaffold scaffold_6, whole genome shotgun sequence.
AUUUAGGCUUUUCUCAAAGCCACCACACCAAAACCCUUGAGAGUUG